rnacentral:rRNA from 1 species
CGUUGGGAGCUCUCCCAUAUGGUCGACCUGCAGGCGGCCGCGAAUUCACUAGUGAUUAGAGUUUGAUCAUGGCUCAGAUUGAACGCUGGCGGCAGGCCUAACACAUGCAAGUCGAGCGGUAGAGAGGUGCUUGCACCUCUUGAGAGCGGCGGACGGGUGAGUAAUGCCUAGGAAUCUGCCUGGUAGUGGGGGACAACGUUUCGAAAGGAACGCUAAUACCGCAUACGUCCUACGGGAGAAAGCAGGGGACCUUCGGGCCUUGCGCUAUCAGAUGAGCCUAGGUCGGAUUAGCUAGUUGGUGGGGUAAAGGCUCACCAAGGCAACGAUCCUUAGCUGGUCUGAGAGGAUGAUCAGCCACACUGGGACUGAGACACGGCCCAGACUCCUACGGGAGGCAGCAGUAGGGAAUAUUGGACAAUGGGCGAAAGCCUGAUCCAGCAAUGCCGCGUGAGUGAUGAAGGCCUUAGGGUUGUAAAGCUCUUUUACCCGAGAUGAUAAUGACAGUAUCGGGAGAAUAAGCUCCGGCUAACUCCGUGCCAGCAGCCGCGGUAAUACGAAUCGAAUUCCCGCGGCCGCCA